GGGCCCGCACAAGCGGUGGAGUAUGUGGUUUAAUUCGAUGAUACGCGAGGAACCUUACCAGGGCUUAAAUGUAAGUUGCAUAAGUUAGAGAUAGCUUUUUCUUCGGACUACUUACAAGGUGCUGCAUGGUUGUCGUCAGCUCGUGCCGUGAGGUGUCAGGUUAAGUCCUAUAACGAGCGCAACCCCUGUUGUUAGUUGCCAGCGAGUCAAGUCGGGAACUCUAACAAGACUGCCGGUGCAAACCGUGAGGAAGGUGGGGAUGACGUCAAAUCAUCACGGCCCUUACGUUCUGGCUACACACGUGCUACAAUGGUCGGUACAGAAAGCAGCCACUAUGCGAAUAGGAGCU
rnacentral:rRNA from 1 species